UACGGGGGGGGCAAGCGUUGUUCGGAAUUACUGGGCGUAAAGGGCUCGUAGGCGGCCAACUAAGUCGGACGUGAAAUCCCUCGGCUCAACUGAGGAUCGUCGAUCGAUACUGCCGUUCUUGAGGAUUGCAGAGGAGACUGGAAUUCCCGGUGUAGCGGUGAAAUGCGUAGAGAUCCGGAGGAAGACCGGUGGCGAAGGCGGUCUGCUGGGCAGUUUCUGACACUGAGGCGCGACAGCGUGGGGAGCAAACAGG
rnacentral:rRNA from 1 species